rnacentral:rRNA from 1 species
GACGAACGCUGGCGGCGUGCCUAAUACAUGCAAGUCGAACGAGAGCGACCGGUGCUUGCACUGGUCAAUCUAGUGGCGAACGGGUGAGUAACACGUGGGUAACCUGCCCAUCAGAGGGGGAUAACAUCCGGAAACGGAUGCUAAAACCGCAUAGGUCUUCGAGCCGCAUGGCUUGAAGAGGAAAAGAGGCGCAAGCUUCUGCUGAUGGAUGGACCCGCGGUGCAUUAGCUAGUUGGUGAGGUAACGGCUCACCAAGGCCGUGAUGCAUAGCCGACCUGAGAGGGUGAUCGGCCACAUUGGGACUGAGACACGGCCCAAACUCCUACGGGAGGCAGCAGUAGGGAAUCUUCCGCAAUGGACGCAAGUCUGACGGAGCAACGCCGCGUGAGUGAAGAAGGUUUUCGGAUCGUAAAACUCUGUUGUUAGAGAAGAACAAGUGCUAGAGUAACUGUUAGCGCCUUGACGGUAUCUAAACAGAAAGCCACGGCUAACUACGUG